GGCAGAGAGCAGACAUAAAAAGUGGGUCCGGGCCCACAACCGUGCUCGCUGGCAAGAGCACGGUUGUGGAUGCUCUAAUAUAUAAAUGUCUAACAAUGGAUAAGAUUAGGGGUGGGGAAUUAUACCGAAAUACUAGAAUACCAGAUUUACUGUAAUGAAAAAAUAUCGAAAAUAUCAAUUUUUCAGUAUACCGUAGUUUUUGGUACGGUAACGGUAUUAGAUUUCCUACACGGUAUGGUAACGGUAUAAAAAACUACCUUACCGAAAGAAAAGAAUAUAUCGAAUUUCAGUAUACCAAAAAAAUUCGGUACGGUAUCGGUAUAGUAUUUUGUUAUACCGUAACUUUCAGUACGGUAUACGGUAUGACACUCACGGUACGGUAUAACGUACCGAACCAACCCUAGAUAAGAUAAGAUUGUUAAUUUUGUCCCCCCGUAGUUUGUUUGACCGCAGGACUAAAACCCCUUCUCAAAAUAAUCAUCGGAGUUGGAGGUGUAUCACCACUCUACUUUAUUACCAUCUACAACUGGGACACUUAUAUAGUGGAUGACCCUACGUACCUUGUGGUACCUGCCAUCAUUACUGCGGUCAUCAUCUGGGCACCAAGGAUAAUCAGUUGUCCUUUCGUAUUCUGGUUUUUGAUCUACAAAUUUCGGAGAAGGCGUUUGUCCUCAUUCGAGGGAGUAGAGUCAUUCCUACAAAGUGACAACAAACUCGUACCAAUAAGGUAUUCCUAGUCGGACAUAAAGAAGAUGACUAAGAGCAUCCGCAAUGGGCGGACGAUGGCACGCCCGAUGGCGCGCAUCGUCCGCACCCAUUGCGGGUGCGUGCCAUAGGGCGCGGACGAUAGUCGCUACCUAUACU